GUAUAAAAACUAAGGUUUGAAACUAUUUUUAGGAUUUUGGCAAUACCUUAAGAUUUACAAUGUAUUUACAAUUGAAAUUUUUUUUGAUAGUUUUUAAAAGUAUAUCAGUACUUUAUGUAAAAUUUGAAUGUAUUUGAACGGUCCGAUUGGAAGAUAUGAGUUGUUGAAGUUUGGAAAUAAUACCCCAUAAGGAUAUAUAAGGAUUUAGAG
rnacentral:lncRNA from 1 species